UAACAGAAGUUCGAUUAUGGCUCAGUCAUUCUUGGCGGAUGCUUUACACAGCUGCAGUCGAACGGCAGCACGGACUUCGGUCUGGUGGCGAGUGGCGAACGGGUGAGUAAUGUAUCGGAACGUGCCUGUGGCGGGGAUAACUACGCGAAAGCGUAGCUAAUACCGCAUACGCCCUUCAAGAAGCAGGGGACCUUCGGGCCUCGCACUAACAAAGAGCGGCCGAUAUCGGAUUAGCUAGUUGGUGAAGUGCGCGCUCACCAAGGCGACGAUCAUGGCUGGUUUGAAGAGACGACCAGCCACACUGGGACUGAGACACGGCCCAGACUCCUACGAGAGCAGCAGUGGGGAAUUUUGGACAAUGGGGAAACCUGGUCAGCCAUCCCGCGUGUGCAGUGAUGAGCCUCGGGUUGUAAAGCACUUUUGGCGGGAAAGAAACGGCACGGGAUAAUACCCCGUGCAACUGACGGUACACCAUACAGAAGAUAAGCACCGUAACUACGUGCCAGCAGCCGCGGUAUCACGGUGCAAGCGUUAAUCGGAAUUUUGGGCGUAAAGCGUGCGCAGGCGGUUCGGAAGAAAGAUGUGAAAUCCAGAGUAACUUUGGAACUGCAUUUUUAACUACCGAGCUAGAGUGUGUCAGAGGGAGGUGGAAUUCCGCGUGUAGCAGUGAAAUGCGUAGAUAUGCGGAGGAACACCGAUGGCGAAGGCAGCCUCCUGGGAUAACACUGACGCUCAUGCGCGAAAGCGUGGGAGCAAACAGGAUUAGAUACCCUGGUAGUCCACGCCCUAAACGAUGUCAACUAGCUGUUGGGGUAUCCCGGGCCUUGGUAAAGCAAUAACGCGUGAAAUUGACCGCCUGGGGGCGUACGAUCGCAAGAUUAAAACUCAAAAUUGACGGGGACCCGCACAAGCGUUGGAUGAUGUGAUUAAUUCGAUGCAACGCGAAAACCUUUUCUACUUAACUUGUGUCUGGAAUCCGAAGAGAUUUGGGAGUGCUCGCAAGAGAACCGGAACACAGGUGCUGUAUGGCUGUCGUCAGCUCGUGUCGUGAGAUGUUGGGUUAAGUCCCGCAACGAGCGCAACCCUUAUUAGAUUUGCUACGAAAAGGCCUCUAAUGAGACUGCCGGUGACAAGCCGGAGGAAGGUGAGGAUGACGUCAAGUCCUCAUGGCCCUUAUGGGUAGGGCUUCACACGUCAUACAAUGGUCGGGACAGAGGGUCGCCAACCCGCGAGGGGAGCCAAUCCCAGAAACCCGAUCGUAGUCCGGAUGCAGUCUGCACAACUCGACUGCGUGAAGUCGGAAUCGCUAGUAAUCGCGGAUCAGCAUGUCGCGGUGAAUACGUUCCCGGGUCUUGUACUGCCCCGUCACACCAUGGGAGUGGGUUUUACCAGAAGUAGUUAGCCUAACCGUAAGGAGGGGCGAUUACCACGGUAGGAUUCAUGACUGGGGUGAAGUCGCCCAACAAAGGUAG
rnacentral:rRNA from 1 species